UCGCGACCCCGAGCGCCAGCCCAACUCCAUUAUCUGCCCUGGGCUCGCGCGUCGGGCCCAGGUAACAACUUCCCCAAACCGAAAGAGUCAAAGCAAGGCGCAUGCACACAGCCCCGUGCCCGCGGGGACUCGGGCUGCCCGGGCGUCCCGACCAGUCUGUGUUGCUUCCCGGCCGCGAGCAGCAGGCGGUGAGUCCACGCACACGCUCGCCCCACGGCAGCAGCUAGGAGUCGCCCGACCCUGCUCAGCCCCCGACGGUCACCGCACGCGCGGAGUUCCAGCCCCGCGAGCGCCCGGCUAGCGGCGGUCCCGCGCGUCCCCAUCCCCGCCCGCCCGCGAGCGCGCGGGGCGCAACUUUACCGCGGGUGCCCGACGACCCGGCGCGCAGCGCCCGCUCCCGCGCACACGCGCGCACGGCCGACACGCAGCCGACACGCAACCGGCCCGCGGCUGCCCGUCCUCUCCCGCCCGCGCCCGCCCCGCAGCCCGCGCCCGCCCGCAGCAAGUUUGUUCCCCGCCGCCGCGGCCUGCGCGGAGGGAGGAUCGCGCGCGGGGAGACGCCGAGGGGCGGCAAGAGUGGAGAAAGUGCGGAAAGAAGCAACAGCCGCUCCACCCGCGGGCGGAAAAGUGGCCGGGCGCGGCGGCGGGAUGCGGCGCGGCUAACGGUCCUCGGCGGCCGCGCGAGCCGCUAGGCGCAGAGGCAGACGCUCGGGUUUCCCCAGCCUACCCGGACGGGAAGUGACAGCAGUUGGGUUGAACUUCAGCUGGACAGAGAAGGAGGCGAGAAAUUCCGCUCUCAGGAAAGCAGCAUGAGUAAUCGCCUGCACGGUGCCAGACUCACUUCCUCAUCCUCGCCUAGCUCACCUGCUGUCACCUUGCCUACCCCGCCCUGCAGGGUCCUAGGGUGGCCAGGUUAGUGGGCCUUGCGACUUGCCCUUGAGGCAUAAACACACUAGGAGAGCACGCCUGGAAACCUGCAAUCCGAAGUGCCCAGAGCGUGAGACAGGAGGAUGGCCAAGUGUUCAAGCCAGCCUGCACUACAGUGGAGCUCGGACUCAAAAUAACCUCAGUUUCGCACAUAUCUGAGCAGUCUAAUGACCUCGAGGCUAAAAGCAAAGCUGGCUAGUGUUCGCUGAGGCCGAUCUUUACCUGAAGUCCUUGACUUUGUACAAGACCCAAAAUGCCUUGAUACUCGUCUCCAGUAAUUAGAAUUUAAAUUUACCUUUCUCUCCCUGUUUCCCACCCCUUUUAAAGGAGGAGUUGUUAAGGGACAACUUUUUUGAGUGGAUCAAAGAAAGCUGGUGGUCACCUCACUGUUGCAGUUCAACCAGAUUCUACAGCCAGGCCCAGGCAAUGCUUAACCAACAGUCCUCAGGACCCGUGCCAGCUUCUCUAAUCAAGCCUCCUUGGAGGUGAUGAAGGGAAACGUGUUUUCCUCGUGCCCCCAGGUGCCAUCUGUUUCCUGCCCAGGACCCCGAGUAAUAUGUAACUUGGAAUUAGAAAUUAUGUUCAACCUUGUCAACAAACAGUACCCAUCCCAUUGAUUCUACAUUAAAAUUUGAAUGUGAGACUCACCAACAUCUGCAAGAGCCUUGCUCCAAUGACCUGCUCAGUGGCCUUCUGUUCUGCUCAUCCACUCCACAAGUAUUUUUUCCUUGUUUGCUCUUCUGGACACCUGUGCACACACCACCAAUCCAUUGCAUGUAUUCUGGCUCAACCAAUGAGCUGUCUACAGUGAGUUGCCUUCUGUACUCUGCUGUCAGUGUUGAAGAAAACCAAAGCUGUUUGCUGGAUUCGUGCUAAUCCUCCAAGCACUCCAGGCUUAUUGGAACUUCCACAGUGGAAGAGACGGGUGUCGUGUGCCAAGCUCUGAGGCUUAAACAUGAGCAGAAGAACACGCCUUUAAUUUCAGCCCUCAGGAGGCUGAGGCAGGAGGAUUGAGAGUUGGAAACCAAAGCCAGCUUGGUCUACACUGCAAGACCUUUUCUCAAAAAAAAAAAAAAAAAAAGAGGCUUGCUGAGUGGAAGCUACAGCCGACCUGUGAACACCCUCACCGGCGGCGGCGCUCAUCUCAUCCACACGGGGCUUCUCAGGUGCCGUCAUCCAGUUGCCCGCAGACAUGCUGAAACAUUCAGGACUGAACACUGAACACAUUCACUGCAGGGUAACUAUCACAGAGAAGAAAAUGAAACUGCUGACUGAAACGUUAAUAAACUCCCCAUGUCUGUGCCUCUUUGACAAAUCACCUCCACGGUGGCUAAGAUUUCUGCCGCACCCGGCAGUGGGGACCACAUCACAUCGUCACAUAGACCUGGUUUACCGUAAGUCCUUCCUCCUGGAUCAAAGCAGGAUCCCAGCCUCCACUGUCGCCUAUCCACCUGUCCUUUCCUCUGCUUCCUCCUUCAGACUGACAUUAUCUCACUGCACUCAGUUUUGGAAGGCCAAGGGCAUAGGGUGGCGUUAUGACUUCCAGGGACGAACUGCUGGCAAGUGCAAGGCCAAGAUUCAAAGUCCUGCUGUGGGCUUUGGUUCCUGUCUGGUUCCUGCUGGUUGUCUUUCUUCAGCGGUAGAAUUGGCUGUUCUUGUGGUGAGGCACAAGUGCCACUGUGGACAGGCUUGAAGGAGAAAACAUGCUCACCUCGUGGCUGUUGGGAAGCAAAGACGGGAGAGAGGCAGCAACCAGGACAAAACAGAAUUCAUGUCCCUAGGACCUAUUUCUUCCAACUAGGACCAGCCUAAUCGCCAUUCAGCUGGGGAGUCGUUGAUGUGCUGGUCAACUGAUGAGGUUAGGACCAUCCUGACUCCACCUUUCAGUGGUGACACCAGCUGGGAGCCAGCCAUUAACACAUGAGUCCAUGUAAACUUGAACAGCCCACUUGGACCUCACUAUUCAGGUCAGUGCUGAUUGGAUUGCUAACCUGGAGAACCUCCAAAUCUCGGGGCCAGAAAUCAGUUCUGAAGUCCGCAAAGGUAUGGUGUGGAGGAGACAGAGAAGGGAAAGGAACUGAUCGUCCUAAUCAUCCAGCUUUAAGUUCAGAAACUACUGCUCAGUUUGUCUCAUCUCUGGUCUCUAUAAAGGAAAUCUGAAUGGAUAAAUGUCCAGGCAUUGAAAAAGAAAAUGGAAAAGAGGUGUCUUACCCUGCUCAACUGAACUCCCAAGAGUUGUACCCCCAAUCCUAAAGCAACCCUGCCCUGUGAGAGUGGAAUAAUGGUCAAAUGUAUCCAGUUCGAUUGUUGGAUGGUACAUGAAUUGUCCAUCCAAUGGCCUUCACACAUCAGUGCAUCGGGAGCCCACUCUGUGAGCUUGCCUGGGUCCAGACGGGAUCUUGCGGAUGGGUGAUUCCCUUGGAUUACUCUAACAGAGUUUAAAUAUAAAGAGGAAGCAGGAAGAACAGACACAGACAGAAAACAAGGCAGUGUGACCAUGGUGACAAAGACUGGAUGCAAUGAGCCACGUCCGCAGCUGCCAGUGCUAAUGUCUGGAGCCUGGGUGACCCCAGAGUCACCCUGCCCAGCCUACCCUGUAGACAAACACUGUCCUGAUGAAACUAGCUUGAAUUUUGUACCCCAGGAUUUUCAGAGAAAAAUGAACAAGCAGUGGCCAGAGCACUAGCUGAGGAAGUUCCAGCCCAUGAAAAACACCACUGGAGACCUGCAAGAACUUUAUAUGACACUACCAAUGCUGUAUGUUAAGAGGAAUUUGACCAUGGGUGAUGAGAGAACCAAAGAAGAGCAAUGGAGUUUGCAAGUCGGUAGUGUGGAAGAGGGCUGGAGACGGGGUUUGGAGGGCAGGACUAGGAGGGCCAAUUCUGGGAUGGAGAGAGGGGUGCAAGGGGCUGAAUUAAAGAUGCCUCUCACCAUGGAACCAGGAUUUGGGAGUGUGGAGGGCUCAAGAGCGGAGGCUGGGUGUUGGGUAUGUCUCCUGCCACUCUCUGAACCCCAGGCACUGAGUAAACAGUCAAAGAAGCCAUGCAGCAGGGCAGCCAGACAGCUUGUCAAGCCCCUCGGUCUCUUUUGCGCUGGGUGGGUGUCACGGCACUGGGACUCCAUUGUGACCCACAGGCUUCUAUCCAGACAGCACCUGACACUUUCUGAAUCGGGCCAAGCCCGGACCCCAGGCAGAGGAGAUGGAACAUCACUGAGCUGCUAGACACCCCGGCACACAGCCAAAACAGAACAAAACCAGCCGGGUGAGAACCACAGAGGCUGUGUGGGGGCCAAAUGGCUUUCUAAUCAUGCUGCUCUCCAGACAGGACAAAACCCUGUCUCUCCAGCACACAUGGAGCCAGGAAAAUGAGAGGAGGCCAGGCAUCCAGCAAGUCCAGAGCAAAGAAUCUUGUUUCAAAGCUCAUAGAUCCCCUUGGCCUGGGUCAGUGGAGCACGGAAAGGAGAGAGGGAGGGGUCUGUUAUUCCUGGAACAUCAGGGACCUGCUCUACAGAACUGAACACUUUGAGAUGGAACAGGUGGAUCUGAAAGAAAAUAUGCCAUUUCCUCAUGAAUGUUCUACCAGCUCUCUCUGGAACUUAACACAACACCCUCCUGGAAACAUAAUAUGAAGGUUGGGAUUUUUUGUCUCUGUCCCCUAGCAAGAGUUGUCCCCACUGCUGCACGUGCUGAGGCAGUUUGCAUGAAGAGGAGCCAGUUUAGAAUUGUCACAUUUAUGUUCCACAAGGAGGAGGUUUACUAACUGGUUGCUAAUUUUGCAUCAGUGGCUGGUGGGUAAUGUAUGUUACUCUCAUAGUCUUUGCACUUCCUUGUGACUCUGUUUCAGAACCGUGGCAAUGAAAGACAUAUUCCUGAUGUGGAAAUAUAAUUGUAAUGCUGCUGUUCAAUCAAUCAGGAGAUGUUAGGAAAUACAUCCAGAGUUGUUUCGAAUAUGACUGUAGUCAGGCGGCUGGCAGGCGAGAGGCAGCCACUUCAGCUUGGGCCAGCUCCUAAGUCCAGUCUCGCUUCCCCAUGUUGAACCAUCUCUGCAGCUGGAUUGCUGCCGCCCACUUCCUCAGCAAGCUCAGCUUCCUUGGAACUCCUAGGCAAGCAGAAAACUCCGGAAACUGAAACCAUGGAAGUUACCAAGUUCCCAGAGGAGUGUGGACCACCCAGAACCUAAACCCAGUGAUAACUGACCAAAUGACAAGUCAGGAAAAAUGGUCUUGGGUGAGCAAGCAUUUCUGAGGUCUUGGUGUGUUUUACUUGACCGGGACUAUUGGACUUCAGUUUGGUUGGGAGUAAAGUAGCAUCUGGAAAGGGGAAAUAAAGUGGUACAAUUUUCUCCCCAGGAGGACAGUGGCCAUCCAAAGCUACAGGGAAGGUGGAUCAAGGCCAUUGCCCUGCCCUGCCCUGUACCCCUCAGGCUGUUUGAGGACCCCAGGGACUCACUCUCUGGGCAGCCAUGCCAUUGGAUAGCUAAGUCACAAUACAUGCCACAUGCUUUGUCCUUCAGAAGCUCCAUCACAGACUUGUGGUGACAGGGAUUUUUAACUGGGCUAGCAAAGUCUCAUUGUUUUUCAAAAGUCCUGAUGGCCCCUGUUUUUAAUUAAGAACACAUGGGCAGAAGAUGGUCAGUUCCUUCACUUUACCUCUUUGUGAAAGAACAGUGUCUUAAUGGCAAUUCAGUUUGCCUGCCCCUGGUUUUCUGGGUAGUAGUUUGUUCUCUCUCUCUCUCUCUCUCUCUCUCUCUCUCUCUCUCUCUCUCUCUCUCUCUCUCUCUGUGUGUGUGUGUGUGUGUGUGUGUGUGUGUGUGUUUCUGCAAGCCCAAUACUAAAGAAUUAUCUUUAGUGACUUUUCUACUGUAUUCAAUGAUGCAGGGUCUCUCAGCUAAACCCAGUGCUCACUGAUAAGCUCUAGUCUUUCUAGUCAUCCUGCUCUGAGGACCACCAUGUCCACCUUCUGAGGCUGGAGUUACAGGUAGGCCACCAUGGCCAUCUGGCAUUUUUGUGGAUUUCUGAGGAUUCCCAAAUCUGGUACUCAGGUUGGACAGGAAGCACCUUAACCUCUUAGCCAUCUCCCUAGGCUUCCUGGGCAGUUUUAAACUGACCACCUAAUCUCUUGUCAACCAGAGAGCAGUGCUCACAUCCCUGUGUCCUGUGCAGGUUUGCUGUUUGGUGAAACCCAGGGGUAAUAAAAAUGCUGGCAGAGUAAAUUCUAGGCUGUCUGUUGGAAGCCCCAUCCAUCACCAUAUGCAAAUGUAUUCCACAAUACUUCAAGUCUUCAGCACUAAAUUAAGUAGCUGCAUAAAGUCUCAAGAAAUAAAAAGCAGGAGGGUCAAGGAAUGGCUUGAUCUAAAUCAUGGCUUAACUACUUCAUAGGAAUUGUUUGUUUUUUUCUGGGGGAGGUGGGCUAUGGCUGUAAGUGAAUGUGCCCCCAAAGACCACAUACUUAUCUCCAAAUAUGUCCCCCAAAGGCAAACAUAGUUUGUUCCAUGGGCUGUACUUUGUGCCUUUCCUUCCCUGACCAAAAUGUCCAACUGUGCACACACACAGUUCCAUAUGAAUUAAGGUGUUUAAACAGGACAAGAUGGUAUUUUCUGAGCACCUUCCAAAGGCCUGAAUGUUAUAGUGUUCAUUAGAUCCACACAGGCCCUGGAACAGGAAAAUCAUGCCCCCCCCCAUCAAACUGUAGAGAUGAGACUGAGUUACAGAGAGAUUAAUUUAGCUGAAAUCAAGCUGUUUGCAAGUGACAGUUCUAAGACAUGAGCUGCAGCAGUGUGACAUUAGGUGAGUUUUACCCAUAUGUCAUCCUGCCUCUGGGCUUGCUACAGUAAUCUAGAGAAGCGCUUCCUGGCUAGAAUGCCACUCCACAUGCCACUUGGCCUGGCAUCUAUAGUCACUCGAAUAAUGACAAUUCUGUCUUCCUCCCCUCUCAAAUCCAUGACAGAGGACGAGCUUUUCAGAAGGACUCUUCUCCAGGACAGGCACAAGGUGGGAGUUGCUGCCUGAGAUCUGCUCUUCGUGGCACAAGGAUCUGAAGCAGGAGAGCAUCCAUGAGCAUCCCCAAAUGUUUAAAACAGCAGCACCAGGUAUUUGGGAAGUAAUCAGAAGCAAGGAGGACUUAUCUUUUCCAUCACAGAAGCCACUGGGCCGAGAUAGACUCCUGCUGGAGUUCUAGCACCUUGUAUCCUGAGACAGAACUGGUCCAACUCACAGUAGCAGAACUGCUGGAUAGGGACACAGAAGGGACAUCAGCACAGAGGUAGACAAGGCACCUGGAUGACAGUCGCAUAUCUACUUACCUAAGUCAUGGGGGAAUCAUCAGAAGCAGGCUGUAAACUAUGGAUUUUGUCUGCUCAAUCACAAACUUACGUGGCUUUGCAAGUACUGUGCUUCUCAUAGUCUUGGGCAUCUCCAAGGACCCUGCCUUCAGACCAGGUGGCUGCCCAUGGAAGAGCCAUCCUAAUCCCAAGAUUCCUCUAGACUGGUGCUGCAGACCUCUCUAGGGGUUCAGACGGAUGUCUCCAGUGAGGAUGGUCUGACCCAGAGAUGAGAUGUGACUGCGGUUGUCUCCCUGAGCAGGCACAGUCUAAUGCAGCUUUUGCUUUCAAGUCAAGAGGAAGAGAAGCAAACGGAAUGUGACAACCUGUUCACUCUAAAAGAAUGAGAGCAUAGGUUCAGAUUCUCUCUUCUAGCUUGGCAGUGGACCCUGGAGGGUGACUGAGGGCCUGUGGCCUGGGACCAUAGGAAGAGUGUCACACUUAAUGUGACACAACCAGAUCUUUCAAUAGCCAAUCAGAGCACUUGGGCUGGGACUGGCCAGAGAGCUGCCUGUUGGGUCUGUAUUCCCACCAUGGACGCCCCCUUGGAAAGUCACACCUGCCUUGCCACCCUGCUCUCUGGACUCCAGGGCUGUGUAGCAGUCACUUCUGUUGUUUUCUCCUUGCCUGCUUGCUCUGCGUCCCUCAAGAUGUAGGUUUAAAGCCACCACAGCCUCUACCACCUCAAUAUAAUCACUACUGGAGUAGAAGCUGAGGGACAAGAACUACAUCUUAGUUAUCCAGCUCUACUGCAGAUAUGCUGCAGGGUGUGCAUGAGGAGCGUGGCAGGGAGUAGUGAGACUGGACCAGCCUAAGUGGCAAGUGAAAACUGAAUCAACAAGAAAGAGCAAAUGACAAAAAGUAUAUUCAAAGCCAACAAACAGGAAUUAGCCCUAUGUAGGAAAGACUAAAGCUAUAAAGCUAGUUAUUCCAUGUUCUAAGUUUUCUAUGCACUUAUAAUGCCUGUUAAUUUUGGAAGACUUCAUGAAUUGACUAUCAGGUCAAGAGACUUAUUGUAACUAAAUCUGAAUUGGUUGAGCCAAAUGUUAUCCAUGUAAAAGUAAAGCAUCGUCAAAUAUUGAAAAUAA